GGCACGGCCAUUCGCACUAGGAACUCCAGUCUGAAGUGCUUGGGGGCAAGAACUCUGCACAUGGCAUCCUGUGAGCAAGUGAAACUAGAUGAAGCACAAAGGAAAAGAAAAGGUAAAAAAAAAAAAAGCCUGCAUGAGAUGGCAAGAUGAUGACAGAAAUUUCGCAUAUAGAAGAAAGGAAAGAUUUCCCCAGCAUUUCCAUAAAACUCUUAGAUUUCAUCUCAUGGACCAGCUCCGGUGGCAUGCCCACUUUCAGCCUCGUGUGUCCAGUGGUCACUGCCUGAGUCCUGUGUUAUAAAUUCUGCCCACGGUGAGACUGAGGGAGAAAUGGAUCCCUCAAUGAAAAGUCAAGGGAGUGGAAGGAAGAACCAGAACCGAGGGUGCCUUGGAUGUACAUGAGAGAGCACACUGGUGUAGAGAGCAGCGGGCCACAUACGGCACUGCAAGUGCUCCAGCAGCCACUCCAAACAAAGUAAGAAGAAACAGUGAAAUUAAUAUUAGAUGUCUUAAUAUAUGAUAACAUGUUCUUUAACCCAGAGAAACAGGAUGAAACCAAUUUUAAUUAUUUUAAUAGCGUAG